rnacentral:rRNA from 1 species
UACGAAGGGGGCUAGCGUUGCUCGGAAUCACUGGGCGUAAAGGGUGCGUAGGCGGGUCUUAAGUCAGGGGUGAAACCCUGGAGCUCAACUCCAGAACUGCCUUUGAUACUGAAGAUCUUGAGUUCGGGAGAGGUGAGUGGAACUGCGAGUGUAGAGGUGAAAUUCGUAGAUAUUCGCAAGAACACCAGUGGCGAAGGCGGCUCACUGGCCCGAUACUGACGCUGAGGCACGAAAGCGUGGGGAGCAAACAGGG